ACGCUCGACACCUACGGGGGCAGCAGUGGGGAAUAUUGCACAAUGGGGGAAACCCUGAUGCAGCGACGCCGCGUGGAGGAAGAAGGUCUUCGGAUUGUAAACUCCUGUUGUUGGGGAAAAAGAAGGAUGGUACCCAACAAGGAAGUGACGGCUAACUACGUGCCAACAGCCGCGGUAAUCUGAGCGGGCUGGCAAGGC
rnacentral:rRNA from 1 species